UAGCCUCCACCGUUCUGCGAUGGGGCGGCCGUAGCGGCGCUCCUAGAUCUAUGUCAAGGGCAGCCCCCUGCUCGUCGUCAUGGGCGCAGUGGUCAUGAGGAAAGUGGUUGAGGACGGUGAGAUGGAAGUUGUAGCCUACCCGCUGCCCAGGACAAGGACGGCUGCCCUGACGCUCCCCCUUCUUCACAAUCUCGCACUGGGAGAGGAGGGGAUGGCCACUGUUUUCUUCGGCACUCCUCGGCCUUAUCCACAUUCCACAGGUGACCUCGCCAAACAACUUGCUGUGAAGAUUAUGCCAUACUUAUUUGCAUGUCAUGCUAUAUGAACGGGCACUGUGGUUGUGAUUGUUAUGCUGGGAGCGAUGUUCCUCAUGGUCCCAGUAAUGCUGCUAGUAUGGAAGAGGCACUGGAUCCUUGUUGUCACAUUCCUUGAGCUCUCGUUGAUGGAGGAUAAAUGGAAAUAAGUGAUCAUCUAGUGGAGACAGAGAUAACAAGUAGAGACAAACUGCAGGGAACCAAGUAGAGACAAAUCGCUGCACUGUGGUAUGUUGCUGUCCAUCAGAAUCUGCCAUGCCAUAUAGUUGCCAUCAGGAGGGUCGACGACAAGAACACGAGUGACAACCUUUGUAGUUAUAUGUUUUGUCGAUGUAAAUUGGAUUGUACCGGUUCCUAAUCCUAUGGAUGGUUGCAUAUUAAGUGAUUUUGUCAACAUGGAGGAUAUUAUAAACUGCUAGGUUCUACAUACCUAUAGAUGGUUGCAUAUUGAGUGAUUUGUGUAACAUAUGGUACUUUGGAAAUAUUGUCCUCAUCUAAAAAUGGCAUUAUGAUUUACGGAA